GACGAGGAUGAUGAGGAGGAUGACGUCUUUGGGGAUGUAGAGGCUGGAGACGAUGAGGAUUCAGAUGGUAGCAUGGGCUGAUAGGGCAUCUACUGAUGGAUGGCAUUGCAGGAAAACAGGGUUUUAUCUUUCUUUUUCUUUUGUAUUUUGAAAUCUUAGAUUAGGAUGGAUUUUGUUUAGUAGUGUAGGUAUGUCUAUACUUGCCUGAACAC
rnacentral:lncRNA from 1 species